rnacentral:rRNA from 1 species
GACGAACCGUGCGAACGUUAUUCGGAAUCACUGGGCUUAAAGCGCGUGUAGGCGGGUCGGCGCGUCGGCCGCUGAAAUCCCCCGGCUCAACCGGGGAACGGGCGCCGAUACGGCCGGCCUGGAGGGGGGAAGGGGGAGCCGGAACUCACGGUGGAGCGGUGAAAUGCGUUGAGAUCGUGAGGAACGCCCGUGGCGAAAGCGGGCUCCUGGGCCCCGCCUGACGCUGAGACGCGAAAGCCAGGGGAGCGAACGGG